rnacentral:lncRNA from 1 species
AGUGAGGACAAGCCGCAGGAAGCAGACCCUGGAUCUCAUUCUUUCCUCCUUCUCUCGACUGGACCCUGAGAAAGAAUUGCACAGAAAAGACAAGGGGGAGACAGGGAGGCCCCUUGGAGCCUCCGGAUGCUAACCUCCAGUGGAGGUCCAGCGGGAAGGUGGAGCGUGCAGCAGUUAGGAUGUGUGCAGCUAUGGCAGCAGCACCUGUACACUGAGGACCUACUGACUCUGGGGAGCCAACAUUUGUUACGUAUGGAGGAGAUGCCCUUUGAAGCCCCCUAAUCGUGGGAGCUACCCUCCAGUGUCCGCGUCUCCAUUACCACGCAACACCCACUGAUGCCGAUACCAAGCAUCACGAAUAAACGCUGCAAAGCUCAUCAGAGGAGCAGCAGGGCUCAAUUUACCAGCACUUCCGUCUCAUUUGCUUUGCGUUCCUAUCCUACAAUCAAGGAAAUAACGUCCCCAGGCAAAGCAGUGGCGUGCCAGAUGGCAGAGGAACGCCAGGAAGUCCUCGUGGAAGUCGCGUCCUUGCCGGCAAGCUCAAGGAAACGAAUCCAUGACCCCAGCCAGAAGGAGCAAUUGUCGGGCGAGGGGAGCGUCCGCUGGGUCCCGGGAGAGGGCGCCCGCGGCUGACCACCCGCCCGCGGGGCCCCGGCGCUGGUGCGCGCGGCCGCCCCCCUCGGAGAGCUUUGGCGACAGGAGGGUCACUUCCAUUCCUCCCUGGAAGCAGAGGAGGCGUCGCGGGACUUCCUCGAAUCGAACGAGUACGACCGCCGGCCAACUACCGUGUGCGUACUGAGCCCUCCUCCUGCCAGCCGGCCCCUCCUCCUCUCCACUCCCCGCUUCCUUACCGGGCGAGCGCGGUGAGCCACUACUUCGACUUCUCAUUGUUAUUAAGAUUCCUUUCAUGGGAAAGAUGAAAUUUUGUUAGAAUAAAAGAUGAAUAGAAGGCUGACCUCCUGGGGCCCUGCAGUAUUAGUCAGUGGUGCGCAGCCUUGGCUGCAUGUUGGAACACCUGGGGAGCUUUAAAAAAAAUACUGUUUUUGGGUCCCAUCCCCAGAGACUCUGACUUAAUUGGUCUGGGAUGCAGCCUAAACAGUGGGCUUUUAUUUUUUUGAUUCUUUAAAAGAUUUUAUUUAUUUAUUCAUGAGAGAGGCAGAGACGCAGGCAGAGGGAGAAGCAGGCCCCAUGCAGGGAGCCCGACGUGGGACUCGAUCCCCAGUCUUCAGGAUCAGGGCCUGGGCUGCAGGCGGCACUAAACCGCUGAGCCACCCGCGACGCCCAACACUGGGCUUUUUAAAGGCUCUCAGGUGAUCCCAGUGAACUAAGUUGGCAAUCCACCAUUCCAAUGGAUUAGGAUGACAUUUUCCCAGGUGAACUUGAUAGUUAAACUAAGCCUCUCAAGAUGCUGCUGUAUGGCACAGUAUGAAACUGUUGUGAAUGCCUGGAAGCUGCAAGCUAAGACAGACCGAGGGGAUCCAGCUGCUCACAGUGGCUCAGGAUGAAGGUGAUGUUUCAGAGGAGCGAGAGAGCAAGUGUCUCCCUCAAAAUAGGUUCUCUCACUAAAUGAGAUGUCCUGAUUAAUAUUCCAGAGCAAAGGGAAAAAAAGAUGUGUGCCUUUCCAAGUCUGUAGGGUCUUCUGUAGAUUUAUAGACUUUAGGUCUGCUGGUACUGACCAGGGUCAUGUAUAGAUCUUCAGCCAACUGCAAGGAGAAUGGACAUAGACUGAAGAGGAGGAUUAAGAAUGCAGUGAUCACUCUAAAGAAGGGAGAUGACCACAGCUCUUCCACACUGCUAUACAGGGUUAUUCGUCUCUGCAUUCUCAGGCUCUGACCUAGACAAGCCCUUCCUUGGUGCCUCUCUCCAAGCAACCUAAGACAGUUGUAAUAUCCUCCAUCCUGCCCUUUAGUCAUUGUUUUUCUGGUCUGUGCACAACCAUACACACAACACUAUUUUGUCUCCUCCUGGAGUCCACCUGACCUCCUGAGACAAUGCCUUCGCUUAUCCACCAUGGGCCUCCCCCUGGCUUUCCCCAGCACUCACUUGGCAAGCCAGGCCAUACCCAUGCUUCAUGUUGCCUGGUCGUAGCUCUCUCAGCUGUGCUUGGACCUGCUUUUGACUAAUUUCAUGUGAACGAUAGCUUGCAGUGGCUUCUGCUACCUCAGACCCAAAGGCCCUCUCCCGACAGGCCACCUCAGAGCUGAUCCACCUCACAGAGCAGGCCAGGCCAAUACUGUGAAGGUUUCCAGUCCACUGGACGGCUACACAGGGAAGAGCACAAAUAUGUCUCAUUUCUCACUGCCCCUCCCCACCAUGACCACCAGUUUCUGAAUAGAGGCAAUUUACUUCACAGGCCCCUGGAAGAAAAUGUCCAAUUGAUCCUGCUUAACUUCAUGUAUAUCCAUUCAUCUUCAGGUGUCACCCAAGCUCAGAGUGGGAGUACUUAAGACAGUUGUGGUGCAUUAAUAAAAUCCUAUUUUAUACUUUUUCAGACUCAUCAGUGAAUCAUGAAAUCAGUUUGGUGGGUCAUGACCAGUAUUUUUAUUUUUUUAUUUAUUUAUUUUUAAAAUUUUUAUUUAUUUAUGAUAGUCACGCAGAGAGAGAGAGAGAGAGAGAGAGAGGCAGCAGAGACACAGGCAGAGGGAGAAGCAGGCUCCAUGCACCGGGAGCCCGACGUGGGAUUCAAUUCCGGGUCUCCAGGAUCGCGCC